AUGCUCAUUUCAGUGGUACAUAUACUAAAACUGGAAUGAAACAAAGAUUGGCAUGGCCCCUGCGCAAUGAUGACAAGCUAAUUCAUGAAGCAUUCCAUAUGGAG
rnacentral:snRNA from 1 species